GUGGAAUAAAGAAAAAAGAACAUAAAAUUUUUGCUCUCAGAAAUCGACAAACGCCGGUGACGGUGUGACGGUGGUGAGAUUCCGGUAAACAGCCUGGGUCUUUUCUUCCUCUUUCUAAAUCUUCAAGUAUUUUCAUUUUAAUUUGUUUUCUUAUUGAUGCAUCUUAGUUUAGUUUGUUAUUCGCUCUCAGAAAUCGACAAACGCCGGUGACGGUGGUGAGAUUCCGGUAAACAGCCUGGGUCUUUUCUUCCUCUUUCUAAAUCUUCAAGUAUUUUCAUUUUAAUUUGUUUUCUUAUUGAUGCAUCUUAGUUUAGUUUGUUAUUCGCUCUCAGAAAUCGACAAACGCCGGUGACGGUGGUGAGAUUCCGGUAAACAGCCUGGGUCUUUUCUUCCUCUUUCUAAAUCUUCAAGUAUUUUCAUUUUAAUUUGUUUUCUUAUUGAUGCAUCUUAGUUUAGUUUGUUAUUCGCUCUCAGAAAUCGACAAACGCCGGUGACGGUGGUGAGAUUCCGGUAAACAGCCUGGGUCUUUUCUUCCUCUUUCUAAAUCUUCAAGUAUUUUCAUUUUAAUUUGUUUUCUUAUUGAUGCAUCUUAGUUUAGUUUGUUAUUCGCUCUCAGAAAUCGACAAACGCCGGUGACGGUGGUGAGAUUCCGGUAAACAGCCUGGGUCUUUUCUUCCUCUUUCUAAAUCUUCAAGUAUUUUCAUUUUAAUUUGUUUUCUUAUUGAUGCAUCUUAGUGGUUAUUCAAAUUUACAAAACACAUAGUUAGUUCAAAUUUUCUUGAUUUGACUCCUCUCCUUUUGUUUAGUUUUUAUGCAUUAUGCAAUCAAUAUUAUAAGUGAGCUCAUUGAAUUUACAUUGUUGGCAUAGAUGAUGCAUAAUCAAGGAUAGGGAAUUAAAUAUUUUAUUUUUUCCUAAUUCAAAAGAUUUUUCUCACACGUUCCAAAUUGAACUUUCUUCCCCCAUUCACUUCUCUUAUUUGUAUCAACAUUCAAACCACAAAUUUCUUAGAUGUUGCGAUGUUAUCUAAGUCAGGUAUGUGUUAUCAUUUGUCAUUUUUUUUGUUGAUUUUAUGGAUUAAGCUGUAGAAAUGAGUUGAUUUUUGCUGUAUUAUGGUUAAUUAUUGAUUAAUUAUUUGAAUGUGUGGAUUUGUUUGGAUGGUUGUUGAUUUUUAUGUGAAUUUCAUAUCUGAAACAUGGUGUUGCAUGUGUGAUGGUAUGUGAAAAUUGGGGGUUUUGGUGGAGAGUGUUUGAAUUAAGGAAUUCUAAUGGAAAUUAGUGUAGAAAAGGGAAUAAUCACCUUAGAUGAAGAGAGUGGUAAGAGGAGUAAUCACCUUAGAUGGAAAAAAGUGUUGGUUUAAGGUAGUCCACAUUGAAGAUGAACCAAUUGUUCAGUAUGAAUAGAUUUAGUUUAGUUCUAACUUCACUACAAUCACUAUCUUACCAUCAGAUCGCUAAUCGCUGAACGAAAGGGCAUCUUCUUCAUUCUACAUUCUAAAUUCAUUCAAUUCGUAAUUUAUUUCCACUAAUUAUAUCUCCACAUUUUCAAUUUUCUUUUGAAUGUUUUUUUUUAAGAUUAGGGCUUUUGUUCGAGAGAUCAAAUUGGCGUAUAGUCCAAAAUUCUUAUUUAAUGGAGGUCGCAGCCAGCGUCGCGUCCUCACGUUGCGUUUCUCUUCUGAUGCCUUCUUUACAGUUUUCCCGGAAAGAGUGGUGCGCUGUUUCUGAACAUCCUGUUCGAAACUCUGGCGACGAGGUAAUCCUUCACUCAACUUGCUUGCAUUGUUUCUUUUUUUCUCUUUAGUCUUAGAUGUUAGGUUGUUAUCUGUUUAUCUAUAUAUCUUGAGGUUUAAAUAAAAAGUUUGUGUUAUAUAGGAUUUGGAGCGAUUUAAGUUAGGGCGAUUGGAUGAGAGAUUGACAUAUGAGGUAAUGCAUGUUCCUUGAGGUCUUUGGUCCAUCUCUCCAUCGAUCCACUCUCUGCACGUUUCUGUAAAUACCCAUCAUCGCCGAAAUUUCCAUUGCCACUGAAAUUACCCUAUGGCUACUGCAACUGAUAGUCGCUACUUUGAAUAACUUCCUUAAUUUCUCAAAUUUGGGAACCGCU
rnacentral:lncRNA from 1 species